GGGCAGAGGGGGAGGGGGACGAAGCUGGUGGCGAAGCGGCUCAGGAGAACCGGGGCUGGAGGAGCGGCAAGAGUACCCAGAAAGUGCCCUCUCCGCGGGGGUCUGCGGCCAAGGAGGAUCCUGCUCGUGGAAUAGCUACCAAAUCGGCCUCCAGCCCACCCCAGGGGCGGGGUAGAGAAAGGGCAAACUGUGACCGGGACUUGUGCACCCGAUUAAUUGAAUAUUAAUCACCCCAAGGCCUAGGCCAACCGCCACCCAGAGAGUGGCAGCUGCAGAACCCAAAGACGUGGAGCCGGGCUGGGGGUGGGGAAGGGAGGCCGCCACAGCUCCCGCCCCGCCGGCAGUUUAACUGCUUCCGCAGCCUCAGGCCUCCCGGUGCGACCCCGGCUGCGACUCGGAUCCGUUUAUUCCAAAUGUCCCAGCCCACGCCGUGCCCAGAGUGUGGCGACACGAGGCCAAACUGCACGGAGUCUUGCUGUGUUGCCCAGGCUGGAGUGCAGUGGCAUGAUCUCUGUUCACUUCAACCUCCGCCUCCUGAGUUCAAGCGAUUCUCCUGCCUCAGCUUCCCAAGCAGCUGGACUACAGGUAUGUGCCACCAUGCCCGGCUAAUUUUUAUAAUUUUAGUAGAGACGGAGCUUCACCAUGUUGGCCAGGCUGGUCUCAAACUCCUGACCUCAGGUGAUCUGCCUGCCUCUGCCUCCCAAAGUACUGGGAUUACAUGUGUGAGCCAUAGCAUCUGGCCCAGCCAAGCCUAUAACUCUUAAUCUCUGUGUUCUCUCUGCAGCAGGGAUGACGGCGCUCCUGGAGGCUGGCUGGGAAGCUGGUCAGGGUCCCAGGACUCUGACACCCCCAAUGGCCCUUGUAGCCUUGGGGAGUCCUGUGAUCCAAGGCUGGAGGACUGAGUCCCCUCCAGGUCUCAUAGCAGACGAAUAGCAGCUUCACCCAGGCCUGUUUUGUCGUGGCCCCAUUCAGAGGCCGCCCUCCUCUGUGGUUUAGAGCAUGCCCUGGAAUCCCUAGCACAACCAGGUGACGAGAGUUCCCCGCUGGCCCCCUGCCGCGGGAACACAAAGUACCUUUGCACAUAACCUUUCUUUGUCCUCUGCUGGUGACGGCAAAUAGGGCAGGCCCAGGGCAACGUGGUAAGGUGGCAGAAGUUUGUUUUGGACAGUGUUUGCAGCUUCUCUGUUCCCUUUCCACCAGGGGUUACCUCCUGCUGGCUGACCCCUUCCUGUGCUGCGGGCUGGAAUAUAGGGUUUAACCCUGUUAUAACCCAGAGGAACACAAAAGGAGGAACAUCAGGCUUUAUGGAGAGACUGGAAAUGAAGUGGAGGUUUUCCUUGCUCAUGAAACCUGGCUCACCCUACAGGUAGUCCCAAAGAGAGCUUGUGAUUUUCUUUCCCCUUUGGUCCCCCGACCCCUUCAGAGCUCUCUGGGAAGCUAUGCUCUCUCACUGCUUUCCCUCCCCUGAUCAGAGUCCCUGUGCCAAGGCUCCUGGAUACUGGGGCUGGAAAACCUCCUGUCCCUUCCACCACUCCUGUGCCCUCCAGGGAAGGGGUCUGGGGUCUCGGGGCUCACCCCCACCUGUGUGCCAGUCCCUGUGCUAGGCCUGCACAGACAUCAGCUCGCUGAUCACUACGAGAACCUCAACUCUUCUCCCCAUUUCAUGAGGACACCGAGGCUCAGAGGUGUUCGUGAUACUCAAGAUCACACUGCCAGAGCGUGAGUUACUGGGAUUUGAACUUUGGUCCGUGUGGCUGCAAAGCCAGUGGCUGCUAUGAUUCUCUUUCCACUUGCUGCAGCCCACGUCCCUCUGGGCAAGUCUGACACCCUAGCUGCCCUCAACUGCCUGGCCCCGUGGCGUCCCAGAGGGCGAGGGGAGCACAGGGACUGGGCACAGAGGCCAGCUGGGGUCAAGGCAAGGGGGCUGCCCAGCACAGUGGUUCUGCUCCAGAGGUGCAGUCAGACUGCCUGGGUUGGCUCAUGCCUGGGUCUGUCAUUGUGGGCAGCGUGACCAGCCUAAACCUCAGUUUUCUCUUUUGUCACCUAUGUGCUAAAAAUACUUAUUUCUGGAGAUUCUUGUGAGGAUUAAAUGAGAUCUUCCAAGCCAAGUGCUUUGCAUAGUGACGCAGGGUAGGUGCUCAAGAAAUUUUGUUGUCUGCCUGUGGUCUGGGUGGGGGCAGGGUGGGGCUGCGAUGGUGAAGAAAUGACACAGAAACCCACAGGAAACUUCAUCAUCUAGAUGGUACAUGGAUGGCACAUUCAAGGGAAGUAACGAAACGAGAAGAAAAAACUUUUACAUUUUGGCUGAGCAAAGGCAACAAUAUAAUUACCAUCAUUUAUAAAAACUGCCUCCCAUUAAUGUCUAAUUCCCACAAAGCGCAACAAUGAUUAUCUCAUUAACUA
rnacentral:lncRNA from 1 species